UGGGCAUCCGCUGAGUACCGCCAUGUCUGUUGGGCAUCCACAAUCUUCCACCAGGCUUUGUGGUCUCUACUGAUGCUCUG
ensembl:miRNA